rnacentral:tRNA from 1 species
GGCGGGAUGGCAGAGUUUGGUUUAAUGCGCUGGCCUUGAAAACCAGUGAUGGUGAUGAGCCGUCCUUGGGUUCGAAUCCCAAUCCCGUCGCCA